rnacentral:rRNA from 1 species
UACGGGGGGGGCAAGCGUUGUUCGGAAUUACUGGGCGUAAAGGGCUCGUAGGUGGCCAACUAAGUCAGACGUGAAAUCCCUCGGCUUAACCGGGGAACUGCGUCGUGAUACUGGAUGGCUUGAGUUUGGGAGAGGGAUGCGGAAUUCCAGGUGUAGCGGUGAAAUGCGUAGAUAUCUGGAGGAACACCGGUGGCGAAGGCGGCAUCCUGGACCAACACUGACACUGAGGAGCGAAAGCCAGGGGAGACAAACGGGAUUAGAAAACCCUAGU